GAUGAACGCUAGCGGCAGGCCUAAUACAUGCAAGUCGGACGGGAUCCAUUGAUAGCUUGCUAUCAAUGGUGAGAGUGGCGCACGGGUGCGUAACGCGUGAGCAACCUGCCUCCAUCAGGGGGAUAGCCUCUCGAAAGAGAGAUUAACACCGCAUAAUAUCAACAGUUCUCAUGUUCAGUUGAUUAAAUAUUUAUAGGAUGGAGAUGGGCUCGCGUGACAUUAGCUAGUUGGUAGGGUAACGGCUUACCAAGGCGACGAUGUCUAGGGGCUCUGAGAGGAGAAUCCCCCACACUGGUACUGAGACACGGACCAGACUCCUACGGGAGGCAGCAGUAAGGAAUAUUAGUCAAUGGGCGGAAGCCUGAACCAGCCAUGCCGCGUGCAGGAUGACUGCCCUAUGAGUUGUAAACUGCUUUUGUCCAGGAAUAAACCUAAAUACGAGUAUUUAGCUGAAUGUACUGGAAGAAUAAGGAUCGGCUAACUCCGUG
rnacentral:rRNA from 1 species